CAGAGUUGAAAAACUCCUCAAACCCACUGUGAACAUACCUAUAUCGUUGCUUCGGCGGGCGGCCCCAGGGCGGGGCCCCAGGCCUUUUUUACAGGUGCCCGCCGGCGGCCGUUACAGAACCCUCUUGCUGUAUUUACAGGUGCUCUGAGUACUAUGAAGACGAAAAAAUCAGUCA
rnacentral:misc_RNA from 1 species